GGAAAGUUGCAAAGUACUUUGAAGAGAGAGUUCAAGAGGACGUGAAACCGGUAGGAUGGAAGCAGAUAAAGUUGACGAACGUGUGUCGUAUUCAGAACUACAAUUUGUGGUUUGUUUUUACGAUCGAUGUGGGCUGGCGUCUUUGGUUAACUUAGUGUCUGGCGGCAAUGGUGACCCUGCGGAGGGAUAAUCGGUUGUCGUGCGAUGCUUGGUAUGGCUAGAGGUUCGCUGGUCUUAUAGUCAUCGCUUUAUCUGACCCGUCUUGAAACACGGACCAAGGAGUGUAGCGCUUACGCGAGUCUUAGAGUGUGUCAAAACUUUGAGGCGUAACGAAAGUAAAUGUGGAUUUAUUCACUGACUUGGGAUGCGUUGUCUUUUUUGGAUAGCGUUGGACCAUGGUUUUAUCGUAAUCGCUUGCGAUGCGGUGAAAAUAGAGCGUAAGCGGUGCGACCCGAAA
rnacentral:rRNA from 2 species